AUUCAUUUAGUAUAAAAAGUAUAUAAAGCUUCCAACUUUAAGGUUUAUUAAAGUGAAUA
rnacentral:tRNA from 1 species